GACAGAGGGUGCAAACGUUGUUCGGAAUUACUGGGCGUAAAGCGCGUGUAGGCGGCAAUACAAGUCGGAUGUGAAAUCCCGCGGCUUAGCCGUGGAAGUGCACCCGAAACUGUAUCGCUAGAGUCCCGGAGAGGAUGGUGGAAUACUUGGUGUAGAGGUGAAAUUCGUAGAUAUCAAGUGGAACACCGGUGGCGAAGGCGGCCAUCUGGACGGUGACUGACGCUGAGACGCGAAAGCGUGGGUAGCAAACAGG
rnacentral:rRNA from 1 species